CCCUUAGAUGUCCUGGGCCGCACGCGUGCUACACUGACACUUACACCGAGUUUUUCCGGCCCCGAGAGGUGGCUGGUAAUCAGUAAUAGGUGUCGUGAUGGGGAUAGAUCUUUGGAAUUAUUGAUCUUGAACGAGGAAUGCCUAGUAAUCGUAGGUCAUCAGCCUGCGAUGAUUACGUCCCUGCCCUUUGUACACACCGCCCGUCGCUCCUACCGAUUUCGAGUGGUCCGGUGGACCUUUCGGACAGAGAGAGUCUCGUACAAUCUCUGAAAGUCAAGUAAACCACAUCACUUAGAGGAAGGAGAAGUCGUAACA
rnacentral:rRNA from 1 species